AGUGAACGCUGGCGGUAGGCCUAACACAUGCAAGUCGAACGGCAGCACAGUAAGAGCUUGCUCUUACGGGUGGCGAGUGGCGGACGGGUGAGGAAUACGUCGGAAUCUACUUUUUCGUGGGGGAUAACGUAGGGAAACUUACGCUAAUACCGCAUACGACCUACGGGUGAAAGCAGGGGAUCUUCGGACCUUGCGCGAUUGAAUGAGCCGAUGUCGGAUUAGCUAGUUGGCGGGGUAAAGGCCCACCAAGGCGACGAUCCGUAGCUGGUCUGAGAGGAUGAUCAGCCACACUGGAACUGAGACACGGUCCAGACUCCUACGGGAGGCAGUAGUGGGGAAUAUUGGACAAUGGGCGCAAGCCUGAUCCAGCCAUACCGCGUGGGUGAAGAAGGCCUUCGGGUUGUAAAGCCCUUUUGUUGGGAAAGAAAAGCAGCAGGUUAAUACCCCGCUGUUCUGACGGUACCCAAAGAAUAAGCACCGGCUAACUUCGUG
rnacentral:rRNA from 1 species